CUCAAAUUUGAAAUCUGGCCCUAGUGGUCCGAAUUGUAAUUUGUAGAGGAUGCUUUGGGCGCGGUGCCUUCCGAGUUCCUUGGAACAGGACGCCUUAGAGGGUGAGAGCCCCGUACGGUUGGACACCAAGCCUAUGUAAAGCUCCUUCGACGAGUCGAGUAGUUUGGGAAUGCUGCUCUAAAUGGGAGGUAAAUUUCUUCUAAAGCUAAAUACCGGCCAGAGACCGAUAGCGCACAAGUAGAGUGAUCGAAAGAUGAAAAGUACUUUGAAAAGAGGGUUAAAUAGCACGUGAAAUUGUUGAAAGGGAAGCAUUUAUGACCAGACCUUUGCUAGGCGGAUCAUCCGGUGUUCUUCACCGGUGCACUUCGCCUAGCUUAGGCCAGCAUCGAUUUCUGUAGGGGGAUAAAGGUCUAGGGAACGUAGCUCUCCUCGGAGAGUGUUAUAGCCCUGGGCGUAAUACCCCUGCGGGGAUCGAGGUUCGCGCUUCGGCAAGGAUGCUGGCAUAAUGGUCAUCAAUGACCCGUCUUGAAACACGGACCAAGGAGUCGAACAUUUAUGCGAGUGUUUGGGUGUUAAACCCUCACGCGUAAUGAAAGUGAACGGAGGUGAGAGCCCUUAAGGGUGCAUCAUCGACCGAUCCUGAUGUCUUCGGAUGGAUUUGAGUAAGAGCAUAACUGUUCGGACCCGAAAGAUGGUGAACUAUGCGUGGAUAGGGUGAAGCCAGAGGAAACUCUGGUGGAGGCUCGCAGCGGUUCUGACGUGCA
rnacentral:rRNA from 1 species